GACACCCUAAUUAAUGCAUAUAAAAACCACUCUAGUUUCUAGAUUGGGACCGUUCUAGGGCACUUUGGUAUAAAAGUUAAACUUCAAUUCUAUACUAUCCAAACAAAUUGAACACAUGUAUUGCUAGCUAAACUAAUUAUAACUAUUUUUUAUUUCACACCCUCAACUAACAGCUAGAUCACUGCUUCCUUUAGUCUAAUUUAUAAAUGUGUUUUGUGUAUGUUAAGUGUUAGACUUUAUUAUCUUUGACCAAUAAUUGAGUUAAUAUUUUCUCACUAUUGCAAUGCAAACUUGAUACUAUUAGAUUUGUGAUCAAAUGUACUAUUAGUAAUCAUAAAUAAUAUCAUGUAAAAAUGAGUGAUCAAAGUAAUUUUAAGGAGCAUGUCAUGUCAGAUUAUGUCUUAUAAAUUGGAUUGGAUGGAGUAAUUUACAAGGAGAUACCCAAGCAGACCGAUAGCUACUAGUACCCUAGGUAUUUUGCACGUCACCCCUGUUCGCUUAGCAGAAAGGCCAUGACCGAAAGUAUUCUUCGCUGAUUUAUUGUGAGAGAAAAACAUUGCUGAAUGACUGACAGAUUCGGCAGAUAAACUCAAGUAUGAGGUAACACGAGCUUCAGGGUCUAUUUGAUAGAGUUCUCUUCCUACUCUUAAUUCUCUAUAGGAAGUGAUUCUAUAGUAGAAAGUGAUUCUCUAAAAUUAACUCUGCAUAAAAAAUGAUUUUCACAUAGAUGAAUAAGAAUAAGCUAAAUUUCAACUCGUAGUCUACUAGUUCAUUUCAAAUAAUCACUUGAAAUCACUUUUCUAUAAAAAUAUGUUUUUGUACAAUUCCAUCUAAAUUCAGCCUUUAAGAUCUAUCAAACAAACUCUUAUUUUGAAAAGUUAAAGCUAGAAUUUUUGUUAUAACUAACAAACAUACACGUACAUUUCAACGCAAUAUACAACUUGUUGCUGGGUGAUCUACGGCUUAGAGAUUUAUUCAACAACCGCAUUAUCUGUUCCACUAUAUCUUAGAAUCUGACACCUGUUGGACACUUGUUAUUCUAAUUCUAACUUAUAUAGUAGGUUACAUACGCAAUAGAGAGGCUCAAAGUACUGAGGGAAGUAAAAAAAAAGAAAAAAACAAGGUAU
rnacentral:lncRNA from 1 species